AUUGAACGCUGGCGGCCGGCCUAACACAUGCAAGUCGAACGAGUGGCGGACGGGUGAGUAAUGUCUCGGACACUGCCUGAUGGAGGGGGAUAACUACUGGAACCGGUAGCUAAUACCUCAUACCAUCAGAUGUGCCCAGAUGGGAUUAGCUAGUUGGUGGGGUAACGGCUCACCAAGGCGACGAGACCUAGCUGGUCUGAGAGGAUGACCAGCCAAACUGGAACUGAGACACGGACCAGACGCCUACGGGAGGCAGCAGUGGGGAAUAUUGCACAAUGGGCGCAAGCCUGAGGCAGCCAUGCCGCGUGUAUGAAGAAGGCCUACGGGGUGUAAAGUACUUUCAGCGGGGAGGCGUUACCAGCAGAAGAAGCACCGGCUAACUCCGUGCCAGCAGCCGCGGUAAUAC
rnacentral:rRNA from 1 species